rnacentral:rRNA from 1 species
UACAGAGGUGGCAAGCGUUGUUCGGAAUUACUGGGCGUAAAGGGCGCGUAGGCGGCCUUCUAAGUCAGACGUGAAAUCCCCCGGCUUAACCUGGGAACUGCGUCUGAUACUGGAGGGCUUGAGUAUGGGAGAGGGAUGUAGAAUUCCAGGUGUAGCGGUGAAAUGCGUAGAUAUCUGGAGGAAUACCGAUGGCGAAGGCAGUUCUCUGGGCCGUAACUGACGCUGAGGAGCGAAAGCGUGGGGAGCGAACAGG